UCGAGAGCCGCGGUUGAUCUUCUCAGCU
rnacentral:sRNA from 1 species